CUCUCCUUCUCUGUGUCUGCAAACUUCACCACCAGACUAGAAGAUGCACCCUGAGGGGAUAAAGAAAAUCCUGGUUCUCAAACAACAUCAAAUAAAAAGAAACUGAGAAGUCUUGAGAGGUGUGAUUGUGGGAGGAAUCCUGAAUGUGACCGUGAACGGAACACUAACACUAACCGGGAGAGUGCGGCUGCCGUGUAGAGCGCUAAUGGCCGCCUGCGCUUCUGCGUUACUCUGGAAAAGCACACACCCACGCGGGAUUGGGGAAGUGAUGGGAUUAAGCACGCUCGCUGGCUAAUCUGGAUUACAGACGCACGGCAGAUUAAAACGGUUGUCCGUCACAGCGUUGGCACGGCAGAUGGCCUAACAGCUAAUCAACGACUUCUGAGAGCGACAUGAUCGCGGAUGCCUUCAAGGAUUGUGCCCUCCUACAUACCUAAUUAAAGUCUGUUCAGUCAACACAGAUUUUCACAGAUCCUGUCUCCUGAACCAUAUAAUGUGUUGUUUCCACUUUUAGAAAUGACUUCAUGUUCCUCAGCCUUGUUAGAAGGCUUUAUGAUAAAAGAUUUAUCCUAUAUGUAGUCUGCUAUAUAUAGGCAAAUGGAAGUGUUUGUCUGGCUUAAAUAAAUCUAUUUUUUAUACAGCCCGUUCACAUUAUUAAC